rnacentral:sRNA from 1 species
AUAAAAAUUAACUCAUGUAUUGUUCGGAAAAAUUUAAUAAUGCAGGUAUUAAACGGACAAAUUAAAAAUAAACGGGGAUUUUUUCGGGUUUUUUCCCUUUUGGUUUGUGUAUUUAGUUGUAUAUUU